GAUGAACGCCGGCGGUGUGCCUAAUACAUGCAAGUUGUACGCACUGGCCCAACUGAUUGAUGGUGCUUGCACCUGAUUGACGAUGGAUCACCAGUGAGUGGCGGACGGGUGAGUAACACGUAGGUAACCUGCCCCGGAGCGGGGGAUAACAUUUGGAAACAGAUGCUAAUACCGCAUAACAACAAAAGCCACAUGGCUUUUGUUUGAAAGAUGGCUUUGGCUAUCACUCUGGGAUGGACCUGCGGUGCAUUAGCUAGUUGGUAAGGUAACGGCUUACCAAGGCGAUGAUGCAUAGCCGAGUUGAGAGACUGAUCGGCCACAAUGGAACUGAGACACGGUCCAUACUCCUACGGGAGGCAGCAGUAGGGAAUCUUCCACAAUGGGCGCAAGCCUGAUGGAGCAACACCGCGUGAGUGAAGAAGGGUUUCGGCUCGUAAAGCUCUGUUGUUGGAGAAGAACGUGCGUGAGAGUAACUGUUCACGCAGUGACGGUAUCCAACCAG
rnacentral:rRNA from 1 species